rnacentral:lncRNA from 1 species
GAGGGUCUCAAUGCAGACGUAAGCUUUCAUCUGAUUGGUAAAGAUAAAUGGAAAGUUUCCCCUAAAAUGGCCUGAGUCAUGAGGGGCUGGCACACUGUAAAAAAUUACUGAUGCAAAAAGUUGUACAAAUGAGGAAAUACAUGUUGGCUCAACAUAAUGGUUGUGUCAAAAAAGAAAAAUAUGUUUGGUCAAUGAUUGCAUGAUUUCCAUGAUUGUACUACAAAAUGUUCAUCAAGAGAAAAUAAAUAAUUAUGUUGAGAUAACUUUUAACGUUGCACAAAAAGUAUUAUGUUGGCCGAGCAAGAGAGAACAGCGUCAAUCGUCUGAGCAUGCGCAAAAGAGUUCUACCAGGCAGCGCUGCAGCAGGCUGGAGUCACGACAUUGCAUUGUCAGCAUUCCUGACAUCGCUGGACAAUCACACCCAGGGGUUGCUAAAGAUGUACAGAGCCAAAAGCAAGACUGGGAAGGUGGAACAACUUGGAUGAACUUCUGGAACAACUGGAUGCCCAGACCACAGAUCUAA